GCGGUUUAUAGUGGAUCUGUUUCCUCGUGGUUGUUUGCUCCUCCAUAUUGGAGGGGAUUUUUCCACAUUCAGAUGAAGGCUGUUCUUACCGAGUUGGUUGUUCAAAAGGCGUUGUAGACGCGACCUGCUGACAUGACUGAUGAUAAGUGUCAAGAUGUUGAUGAGAGAGCUUUGUCCGUCAAAUAGCUUAAUUUAUCUUUUGAUGUUCUGCGUGAAGUAAUGUAUGAAAAAUCCGCAGCAACAUUGUGGAAAAAAUUAGAGGAGCUGUAUAUGAACAAGAGUCUUGCAAAUAAGCUACGUCUCAAGGAACGUCUUUACACUAUUCACAUGUCAGAAGAAAAAAUACUCAUCAUAUUUCUCAGUGCCCCAAAGUGAGAAAUAAAGAGGAGAGAAAGAAAAAAAGAAUUGAAUAAGUCUUUUGCUGAAGCCAGUUUUGUUGAAAAUUUGGAUAGUGGAGAAGCUCUGUUUGUUGCCUCUAUUGAAAAGUGCUCUUCUUAGGUUCUCGAUUUUGCUUGCACUUUUCAUAUUAGUUCGCAUAGAUAUUGGUUUUCUGAUUAUGUUCAGUCUCAUGCUGGUGAGGUUGUUAUUGGAGAUGGAUCCACAUGUGAUAUUAUUGGAAUCGGCUCUAUUUAUAUCCAAGUUUAUGAUGGCAGUAUUAAGAAACUUAUCGAUGUCCGUUUUGUUCCAAAGUUGAAGAGAAAUAUUAUUUCUUUGAGCACUUUAGAAGCAAUGGUAUUCAAUUUUGUUGCUAUUGAUGGUGUUCUUAAGGUUUCUCGUGGCAAUCGUAUUAUCUUGAAGGGCAACCGUUUGAAUAAUCUCUAUUAUUUGCAAUAUUCAACAGUUGAUGCUGAAGCUGUUUCUAUUGUGUUCUAGAAGAAAAGUUAUUUUGAUGAUACGAAGCCGUGCUCCAGUUCUAAGUCUAAUGAUUCCUUAGACUUGGAUGAUAUUCAAAUUUAGCAACCUAGUGGUGUUUAAGAAACAAUUCUAUGGAUUUAGAGUCAAGGGGAGAUUUGUUGGAAUAUGCCUCUAAUUUCUUUUAUAUAUUUGGAAUAUGCUUUCCUGUACGUCUAUAAAUGUAGGCUCUCCCUGUAACUUGUACUCUGCAGUUGA